GGACAGGUGGGUGAGUGGCUUAAACCAGCACCCUGCUAAGGUGUCGUACUCGCAAGGGUACCGAGAGUUCAAAUCUCUCCCUGUCCGCCA
rnacentral:tRNA from 1 species